rnacentral:rRNA from 1 species
CUGGCGGCGUGCCUAAUACAUGCAAGUCGAACGGUCUUUCUAUGGAAGCUUGCUUCCACUGAGAAGAUGUGGCGAACGGGUGAGUAACACGUGGGUAACCUGCCCAUAAGAGGGGGAUAACAUCCGGAAACGGGUGCUAAUACCGCAUAGUUUUCUUGAUCGCAUGAUCGGGAAAGGAAAGACGGCCUUUGUGCUGUCGCUUAUGGAUGGACCCGCGGCGUAUUAGUUAGUUGGUGAGGUAACGGCUCACCAAGACGAUGAUACGUAGCCGACCUGAGAGGGUGAUCGGCCACAUUGGGACUGAGACACGGCCCAAACUCCUACGGGAGGCAGCAGUAGGGAAUCUUCCGCAAUGGACGAAAGUCUGACGGAGCAACGCCGCGUGAGUGAAGAAAGGGUUUUCGGAUCGUAAAACUCUGUUGUCAGAGAAGAACAAGUUGGAGAGUAACUGCUCCAGCCUUGACGGUAUCUGACCAGAAAGCCACGGCUAACUACGUGCCAGCCGCCGC